rnacentral:rRNA from 1 species
UAGAGCGGCGGACGGGUGAGUAACACGUGGACAAUCUCGCCCCCCGGCCCGGGAGUAGCCCAGGGAAACCGUGGAUUAAUACCGGAUGAGACGGGACCCGCGAUGGCGGGAUCCGGGAAGGCGCUGCGGCGCCGCCGGGGGAUGAGUCUGCGUCCCAUUAGCUAGACGGCGGGGUAACGGCCCACCGUGGCGACGAUGGGUAGCCGGCCUGAGAGGGUGGACGGCCACAUUGGAACUGAGACACGGUCCAGACUCCUACGGGAGGCAGCAGCUAAGAAUCUUCCGCAAUGGGCGAAAGCCUGACGGAGCGAACCGCCGCGUGAACGAAGAAGGCCGUGAGGUUGUAAAGUUCUUUUCGGGAGGGGGAACAACCGUGGCAGGGAAUGGCCGCGGGAUGACGUGAAUCCCGGAAUAAGCCCCGGCUAACUACGUGCCAGCCGCCGC